rnacentral:rRNA from 1 species
CAGCCGCCGCGGUAAUACGAAGGGUGCAAGCGUUACUCGGAAUUACUGGGCGUAAAGCGUGCGUAGGUGGUGGUUUAAGUCCGUUGUGAAAGCCCUGGGCUCAACCUGGGAAUUGCAGUGGAUACUGGGUCACUAGAGUGUGGUAGAGGAUAGUGGAAUCUCCGGUGUAGCAGUGAAAUGCGUAGAGAUCGGAAGGAACAUCUGUGGCGAAGGCGACUAUCUGGGCCAACACUGACACUGAGGCACGAAAGCGUGGGGAGCAAACAGGAUUAGAUACCCCUGUAGUCCCUGUCUCUUAUAC